GCUGUGUCUCUGGCAAAGGUGCAUUCUUUGUGGACCAAGACCUACCUACAGCCCUGGAGCACACACAGUUGCCAGGAGGGCAAGCAGAAAAACCACCAGUGGAUCAUUAAGAGUCAUGAGUCAUCCCUGAAGAGGAAUAUUAUACAGUCAUCUUCCAUGUUUGGUUUGAACCCACAUACCAAGCCUACCCAUCCAUACACAAAGUCAGGCAUUUUAUUCCUCAUUUAGCUGACUGAACAAAAGCCCCAUGUGGGCAUAUAUGGAAGCUAAGUGAAGUGACUAGUGAAACCAUGAAGCACAGCGAUCUCUUUAGUCAACAGAUUCUGUAUUUGAAAAUUAGCUUUGCAACAUGAACUGAGCAGGCAUCACUAUUUUUUUUUUUUUUUUUUGGUGCAACCAAUCUCAGUCUCCUGCUCCUCCAACUUUGCCUUCUUCUGAUUCUAGAUGUUAAGCAGCACUCUUUGGCUACUCAUCUGUUUGUCUUAGAAUGACAUUGUCUGUUAGCACCUCAAAAGUCCUUAGGUAAAAGGUA